rnacentral:SRP_RNA from 1 species
GCUGGGCAUGGUGGUGCAUGCCUGCAGUCCCAGCUACUUGGGAGGCUGAGGCAGAAGAAUCGCUUGAACCUGGGAGGUGUAGGUUGCAGUGAGGCGAGAUUGCGCCACUGCACUCCAGCCUGGGUGACAGAGUGAGACUCAGUCUCAA